CAGAUACAAUACUUUAAGAAAGUGGAAAGAUUUUAAAGACACUGAUGGACUAAAUUCGCUAAAAUACGAAGUUUUAAAAAGAACAGAUGAGCAACUAUAUACAAUAAUUUCUUGCAAUAUUUAAUUACGAUGCACACGGUAGGAUGAAAUUAACUUUAAAAUAUAUUUAUGUUUAUAGUAUCGCGAAAUAAUUUGUGGGUAUUGCCACUAAAAUAAUAUAUGCUUUUUUAACUCCGAGAGGCGUGUUGAAAAGACCUAGCCAAUGGCAAUAUAGUUGAGAUUUUUUAAGGUUUUAGGUCAAAACAAUGAGUGACUGGAGUUGAUAUAUGGAAAACAGUGAGAUUUUCAAAAUAAUGAAAAGAUAAUGCAACAUUCUGGUCACUGGAUCGCGACUGGAUGCGACUGUAAUUGUUAUGCAAAUGAAAAGUUUCCAAUGGCCUUCACUUUGGCGAAUAAUGAAGCAGAGUUAAUUGUUAGCAGAAAAUAUGAUUUGCAUUGAUGAAGAAACAGCCCUAGGGAUGGAAAGCUUCAUGCCGACGUUUAUGUUUUGUAUAAAACAAGCAAUUACAGCUCUGAUUUAUGCUAGAGAUGUAUGAUCCGCCUGGACAAAUUUCGGCAAAGAAAAGUUAUAGUUCUUCUACUUUCUGGUAAUUCUUCUGUGUUUAAGCACGACAAACAGACGCGCACAAGUUCACUUGAGUAGACAGAUAGUUCAUCUACACGGAUGAUCCGUUUGUUUGUCACGUUUAUACACAGACGACUUUAUAUCAGGCGAACCAUAUCUUUGCUUUGUCCAAGAUCGUGUACACUGAUAAUUGUGUCCAGCAUAAAUUAUGCACCAUGUAUUCUUCCGAGCAUUCUUUUAGUAGCUUUACUAUAUAUAUUGACUAUAUUUUCAUCCAAACAGCGACGUGAAUAAUCGUCUUACAAUUAAAACACAAAGAC